rnacentral:misc_RNA from 1 species
UAUGUAACUCCGCCUAUGUCAUCUUA